GCAUAUUAAUAAGAGUAUACGAAGGAUGGCUUGACAGAACAUGCCGACGAAGGACGUAGUAGCCUGCGAAAAGCUUCGGGGAGGUGGCAAACAACCUUUGAUCCGAAGAUAUCCGAAUGGGGCAACCCAAUGCGGUUCAUACCGCAUUACUUUGCAAUCAAUACAUAGUUGCAAGGAGGGCACCUGGUGAAGUGAAACAUCUCAGUAGCCAGAGGAAAAGAAAAAACAAUUUCGUUUAACGUUUUCAUGCGGCCAGUCGGGUUUACCCGACAGCACGUCGUAUGGAAACGCGAAACGAAUAGAUUCCCUUAGUAGUGGCGAGCGAAAAGGGAACAGCUCAAACCUCUCUCGUGAAGUGUUUGUAAGCAUGGAGUCGCAAGACUGUGUGUGAAUGGAUGCGAAAGAUUGAAGUCGUUGCGAGAGAUAGGUGUUGUAAGACGGUAGUGUCGUUUUCUUCAAAAAACGGAUAAUGAAAUCCAUGUAAUAUAUAGGGGAAGUGACUGGAACGUCACACCAUAGAAGGUGAAAGUCCUGUACGCGAAAUAUAUUACGUCAUUAUGAUUACUGUUCUUGAGUACUACGGGACUCGUGAAAUCCUGUAGGAAUCUGCCGGGACUAUCUGGCAAAGCUAAAUACAUGUUCUGAUCGAUAGUGUACAAGUACCGUGAGGGAAAGCUGAAAAGCACCCCGGAAGGGGAAUGAAAUAGUAUCUGAAAUCGUAUACUUACAAGGAGUCAGCGCCCCUCGAAGCCGCAAGGCGGAGAGUGGGUCAUGGCGUUCCUAUUGAAGAAUGAGCCAACGAGUGUGUUGUGCGUCGCUUGGUUAAGUCCUCCGGGACGAAGCCAUAGUGAAAGCGAGCGUUAAUCCGCGAAAUAUUGGUGGCGCGCACAUAACCCGAAACCGGGUGACCUAUCCAUGACCAGGCUGAAGCGAAUGUAACAGUUCGUGGAGGGCCGAACCCACGUGCCGUGCAAAACACGGGGAUGAGUUGUGGAUAGCGGAGAAAUUCCAAUCGAACUCGGUAAUAGCUGGUUCUCUCCGAGAUAGCUUUUGGGCUAGCGUCGGUAAAUAAUGUGUUGGGGGUAGAGCACUGAAUCGAGUUUGCGCCUUCGGGUAGCGACUCUAAUCAAACUCCGAAUACCAACAUGUGUUCCCGGCAGUCAGACGAUGGGGGCUAAGCUCCAUACGUCGAAAGGGAAACAGCCCAGAUCUCAAGCUAAGGCCCCAAAAUCAUCAUUAAGUGUAAAAGGUGGUGGAAAGACUUAAACAACCAGGAGGUUGGCUUAGAAGCAGCCAUCCUUUAAAGAUAGCGUAAUAGCUCACUGGUCAAGUUUUUCUGCGCCGAAAAUGUACCGGGGCUAAAUGAUGUGCCGAAGCUGAGGGUUUAACAUUUUUAAAUGUUAAGCGGUAGGAGAGCAUUCGUAUUGCGCUGAAGCCAAAGGGGUGACCCAUGGUGGAGCGAUGCGAAGGGAGAAUGUUGGCAUGAGUAGCAAAAAGACGGGUGAGAACCCCGUCCGCCGUAAACUUAAGGGUUCCUGGGCAACGCAAAUCGUCCCAGGGUUAGUCGGGUGCUAAGGCGAGGCUGAAAGGCGUAGUCGAUGCAUAGCAGGUUAAUAUUCCUGCACUUUUUAUCACACUGAAGCGGGGACGCUUCGUGAAAUUUCCCGCGUCCUAUGGCUAUGACGUUGGGCGUAUUUAGGCGCGUGGCAGGCAAAUCCACCACGCUUGGUUUAAUCCAGAGCACGAAUAUGAUCGCAAGUUUUCUGGCAACAGGAAACAAGGGGAAAGAACACGGAGCCAAGAAAAGCCGCUAAGGCUAAUGUGAUAGAGACCCGUACCGUAAACCGACACAGGUGAGUGGGUGCGUAAUGCACUAAGGCGUACGAGAGAAACAUUGUUUAGGAACUCGGCAAAACAACGGCCGUAACUUCGGGAUAAGGCCUGGUUGCCCCUGUGAGGGGGCGACCCGCAGCGAAAGACUCCAAGCGACUGUUUACCAAAAACACAGGUCCCUGCAAAACUGCAAAGUGAAGUAUAGGGGCUGAUGCCUGGCCAGUGUCCGAACGUUAAGGAAGGGGGUUAGAUCCUUCGGGGUCAAAGCUUUCGACUGAAGCGCGGAUGAACGCCGGCGAUAACUAUAAUCGUCCUAAGGUGAAAUAAAAGCUGCCUUAGUGAGGUGAAUGACCUCUCAUUAUCGAACUGUGAUGCCUCACAGACGUAGAUAAAGAAAAAUUUGGCUAUAUGCUGGAACACCUCGUUCACUCUAUGGUAAAAUAUAACCAUAGUAUGAUAAAAAAACGAGACAAUCAGCAGGAAAGACUAGAAAUGGCGUGGUGGAUUUGCGGAUUUGUUGACGGAGAGGGUUGCUUCUCAGUCAGUUUGAUUCGAAACAAAACCACAAGCCUUGGAUGGCAGGUGUUUCCUGAGUUUGUUGUGACACAAGGUAUGAAAAGUCGAUCAAGUCUGGAACUCAUUCGUGAGUAUUUCGGAUGCGGUCAGAUUUAUCAGAACACUCGUCAUGAUAAUCACAGAGAACCAUUGCUAAAGUAUUGUGUAAGAUCGCAAGAAGAUCUUCGAGAGAAGAUUAUUCCGUUCUUCCAAAAAUACUCUUUGCAAACUUCAAAGAAAAAUGAUUUUGAACUCUUUGCUCAGCUCCUUCAAAUGAUGAAGGAAGGAACGCACAAGAAUCAUCAAGGUCAGAAAGAAAUUGCAAAGAUUAUCCAAUUGAUGAAUCGAAAAGUUCCAUCAAAAUUUCUGGAAUCCUCAGAGACUAUACGCCAGACUUCGAAACCUUCGAAGAAGAUAGAGUCCGACCUGCAUGGUGACAUGCAGAACGUGGCAGAAAUGACUACGUCGAUCAAUGGAUCGUAACAACAAAGAGCGAAAUUCCUUGACGGGUAAGUUCCGUCCUGCACGAAUGGCAUAACGACUUGGAGACUCUCUCAACAAUGUACUCGGCGAAAUUGCAAUGUGAGUGAAGAUGCUCACUUCCCGUGGUAAGACGAAAAGACCCCGUGAA
rnacentral:rRNA from 1 species